rnacentral:rRNA from 1 species
GUGAACGCUGGCGGUAGGCCUAACACAUGCAAGUCGAACGGCAGCACAGUAAGAGCUUGCUCUUACGGGUGGCGAGUGGCGGACGGGUGAGGAAUACAUCGGAAUCUACUUUUUCGUGGGGGAUAACGUAGGGAAACUUACGCUAAUACCGCAUACGACCUACGGGUGAAAGCAGGGGAUCUUCGGACCUCGCGCGUAUGAAUGAGCCGAUGUCGGAUUAGCUAGUUGGCGGGGUAAAGGCCCACCAAGGCGACGAUCCGUAGCUGGUCUGAGAGGACGAUCAGCCACACUGGAACUGAGACACGGUCCAGACUGCUACGGGAGGCAGCAGUGGGGAAUAUUGGACAAUGGGCGCAAGCCUGAUCCAGCCAUACCGCGUGGGUGAAGAAGGCCUUCGGGUUGUAAAGCCCUUUUGUUGGGAAAGAAAAGCAGCAGGUUAAUACCCCGCUGUUCUGACGGUACCCAAAGAAUAAGCACCGGCUAACUUCGUG